UACGUAGGGACCAAGCGUUGUUCGGAUUUACUGGGCGUAAAGCGUGUGUAGGCGGCCAGGAAAGUCGGAUGUGAAAGCCCCGGGCUCAACCCGGGAAGUGCAUUCGAUACUGCUUGGCUAGAGUCUCGGAGAGGUUGGUGGAAUUCUCGGUGUAGAGGUGAAAUUCGUAGAUAUCGAGAGGAACACCGGUGGCGAAGGCGGCCCCCUGGUUGGAUACUGACGCUGAGACGCGAAAGCGUGGGGAGCAAACAGG
rnacentral:rRNA from 1 species